rnacentral:lncRNA from 1 species
CUCAUUGUUGUGGCUGUUAAACAAAAUUGGUCUCUUUUUCAACUUGAUGUCAACAAUGCCUUUUUACAUGGUGAGUUGGAUGAAGAGGUUUAUAUGAGAUUGCCUCCUGCGCUGUCAGCCACCCCCUUAUCUGGUUGUGCUUCCUCCUUUUCUCCUUUGGUUUGCCUUAUUGCCUCCAGGGAUGUUAGCCACCCCCUUAUUUGGUUGUGCUUCCUCUUUCUCUCCUUUGGUUUGCCUUUUUGAGAAAUAUUUAUAUGGUUUGAGACAGGCUUCUAGGCAGUGGUAUGCCAAGUUGUCUCAAGCCUUAUGUUCCAAGGGAUACUCUUCUUCUCUCAAUGAUUACUCUUUUUUUUUAAAGAAAUCUGCUUCUUCUAUUGUCUUGUUGGUUGUCUAUGUUGAUGAUAUUGUUCUCACUGGUAACUAUUUGGAGGAAAUUACUGCCUUAAAGAGCUUUCUGGAUCAUGAGUUUAAAAUCAACAACUUGGGAGUUCUCAAUUAUUUUCUUGGGAUUGAAGUUACUUACCACUCUGCUGGGCUGCUUCUUCAUCAGAAGAAAUUUAUUAAGGAC